ensembl:lncRNA
CAGGCCUACCUCUUCUGUUCAUCAGUUAGCCCCUUAUUGAAGUAGGAUACAUGACUACCUCUUCCGUUCAUCAGUUAGCCCCUUAUUGAGGUAGGAUUCAGGCCUACCUCUUCCGUUCAUCAGUUAGCCCCUUAUUGAGGUAGGAUCCAGGCCUACCUCUUCUGUUCAUCAGUUAGCCCCUUAUUGAAGUAGGAUACAUGACUACCUCUUCCGUUCAUCAGUUAGCCCCUUACUGAGGUAGGAUCCAGGCCUACCUCUUCUGUUCAUCAGUUAGCCCCUUAUUGAAGUAGGAUCCAGGCCUACCUCUUCUGUUCAUCAGUUAGCCCCUUAUUGAGGUAGGAUCCAGGCCUACCUCUUCUGUUCAUCAGUUAGCCCCUUAUUGAAGUAGGAUACAUGACUACCUCUUCCGUUCAUCAGUUAGCCCCUUAUUGAGGUAGGA